rnacentral:ncRNA from 2 species
AACAAAGAAAAGGGGAGCUGACGCGUCGGCUGAGAGGAGAUACGAACGGAUUUCGACCCUAAGAACCUGAUACGGAUAAUGCCGGCGUAGGAAGCAUAUUUUAGUGUGAAC